rnacentral:lncRNA from 10 species
CACUUUCUGAAAUGCUUUCUACAUCUUAGGAGGACUCUGACUAGAAAAGAUUAGGCCUUCAGCAGCCUGGAAUUGGCCAUCCUAACUGACACCAUCUUGCAGUCACUUGUGAUAAGAGCUGGGCAUCUGCUUCCAAAGGCUCUGCAGCAUCAAAUACUCUGCAUUGCAAAACCAGUGGACCACCUCGCCUAGACAAGGGCUCCUUUAGCUACCCCUGGACUGGUUUGUUCACUUUUUCUUCUAUCUGUUUUGCCCUUUGAUGUUAAAUGUUACUUUGUUUGUUGUAGAAUGUUUAGCCUAUAACAUUCAUAUAUUGAUUAAGUAUACUAUGAUGUAUGGUGUGCAAUACUGACUGGCUUGUGGGGUGACUUGAGCCUGUGUGCUCAGGACUAUGUGCCCGUGACUCCCUAGUGCAUGGGAAGUGUGAUGGAGAAUUGCCUUCUUGGGAACUCCAUGUAGCUCAUGGCUUUUGUGAUUGAAA